UACGAAGGGGGCAAGCGUUGUUCGGAAUUACUGGGCGUAAAGGGCGCGUAGGCGGCUUAUCAAGUCAGGCGUGAAAUCCCCGGGCUUAACCUGGGAACUGCAUUGGUGACUGGCAGGCUUUGAGUGUGGCAGAGGGAGGUAGAAUUCCACGUGUAGCAGUGAAAUGCGUAGAGAUGUGGAGGAAUACCGAUGGCGAAGGCAGCCCCCUGGGCCAACACUGACGCUCAUGCACGAAAGCGUGGGGAGCAAACAGG
rnacentral:rRNA from 1 species